rnacentral:lncRNA from 1 species
ACACAUCCUAAUCACUUAGAAUUCUAGCCUUUAGAUUGAUAUUAAUCCUCAGCAGUUUCUUUAGAUAAAAGAGAGAAAAAAAACAAUACAUAUAAGAAGUUCAAAAAAUAAAAUAAUAACUAAACGUUUUUUAAUUAAAAAGAAAAAUUGUAGCGUGCUAGAUGUGGUGAGCGUGAUGUCUGGGAAACAACUUCCAACGACAGAGCAGAGCAAGGCAUUGCAAGUGACUUUACCUUGUCACUAUUUCAAUUUUCAAUUUUCAAUUUUCAGCUAAAUAUACUGAAAAAGUUCACUGAAUUGCCGUGUCCGCGUGUCAGACACAUUUUGGAUACGAUAUUUACCGACAUUCGUCCGACACACGUGUCUGCUGUGUCUAAACCGUGUCUUAAUAAAAAAUAAAAAAUUAUUCACCGACACGCUUGGACACACCUAAAUACCAAUAUGUGUCGGCGUGUCUAAUCUUAUUCUUAACAUAUAUUUUUAAAAUAAAUUUAGAUAUAAUAUAUAUUUAUUAUUUAUUAAAACAAAAAUAUUUUAAAUAUUUGAUAUAAUUAAAAUAAGAUAUUAUAAAUAAUUAAAAAAUUAAUUUAUAUUUUAGUAUUCAAUAAAAUAUCAAAAUAUCAUUAUAGUUUAUCUAAAAAAUACUUUAUAUUUUAUAUGUAUGCGUGUCUCCAUAUCCUAUAAAAUUUUAAAAUUUAUGUAUCAGCGUGUCUCAUAUCGUAUUGUGUCCCGUGUCGGUGUCCGUCUCUGUGCAUCAUAGUAGUGAUUGAAUUUCUGACUUUAUUACUUGAUCAUCAUCAUGGUAUACAAUAAAGUAUGAUGACAAUGAGCACUAAUGAGUAAUAAGAGCUAUAAACCUAUAGUGUAGAAGUAACAUAUAUACUAAAAUCUAAUAUACAGAACACAAAAAUUGAAUUGAGAUGCCUCUUUUCCUCACACUACUUUUGAGAUUUAUGGUGUUAUGUAUUCGUGUGUAUCAUAUAUAAGCAUUAGGACGGGAAAAAGCGAAAAACUAGCUGGCUAACCAUGAUUGAUUUAAUUAUUUGUAAAUAAUGAGAUUUCAAUCUCACAAGUAUUUGAGUUUCAUUUUCAUAAUUAAUGUGCAGACUAUUCUAGUACGAUGUUAUAACUAGAAUAAGUAUAGAAAAUUAAUUUUUAAUUAAUUAAUAUUAGUUAUUUUUUUAUUGCAAUUUUUUGAGGAUNNNNNNNNNNNNNNNNNNNNNNNNNNNNNNNNNUAAAAAUAAAAAUAAUUUUAAACAUUAAUUGAUAUGAGCUAAAAAAAUUUGAUUCCAUUAUUAAACCUUAUAACCAUUUAUAUACGCGUUUAAAGAAUCUAAAAACAUAUGUGAAUCUUAGCUAGUAAAAUAAUUAGUGUCAAACUUAAAUUUUUAUUCAUAAAAAAGGAAUCGUAAAAUUAACAGUAUGUUGAGCAUUAAAUCAAUUGUUAGAAAAUCCAUAUUCAUAUAUUAUAGGAGUAAUUCUUUAUAUUUAAACAAUUUUACAUCCAAGUUCAUCAAGUAAUUUAAGUAAUACUACGUCUUCUUUUUCUCCUUUUUUUUAUUUUUAUUUUUUAAUUUUGUUACCGUCGUCACCAACAACACCUCUUCCUCUUCCUCCUCCUCCUCCUAUUGGAAUUUCAUCUCUUCCUUCUUUUUCAUCCUUCUCCUUCUCCUUCUCCAUCACCAUCAUCAUCAUCAUAAUCAUCAUCGUUAUCGUCAUUGUCUUCUUCUAGUACUAUCGUCAUUAUCGUUAUUAUCGAAUUCGAAUUUAUAUAAUGGACAAUUUUCGGUUCAUUUGGUAUUAUACAAUGGUUUUGUUUUGAGCUAAAUUUCGGUUCAUUCGAGACACAAAUGUUUCUGAAUUCGAAUUUAUAUAAUGGAUCAUUUUCGAUUCAUUUGGUACUAUACAAUGGUUUCGUUUUGGUAAUAUUUUUGGUUCAUUCGAUCACUACAGAGAAUCAGAAUCAAUAAAGAUGUUAAUAAAUUGUUGGUAUUGUUGGUGGUGUCAAUAAUGAUGAUGGAGGAGGAAGAAGAAAAUGAAGGAGAAGAUAAAAAAAUUCAAAUAAAAAAUAAACAGGAGGAGGAGGAAAGGGAGAUAGAUGUGGUGGUAUGAUAGUGGUGGCAAUGACGAUAAUGAAAAAAAGAUGAAAAAAAAAGGAGAAGAAGAAGAAACAGGAGGAGGAGGAAAAAGAAGAAGAAGACGACGAAAUCCCACAGUACAAACUAAAUAAAUUGAAUGAAUUUAAAUAUAAAUUUAUUUGAAUGUGUAACGGGAUUUAUAUUAUAAUUCCAAGAAUUUCAAUUCAAGUUUUUUUUUUUUUCGAUUCUUAUUCGAUUUUAACCAAGGUUCAGAAAACCGGACCGGUCAUCAAACCGUUCUAAUUACUGGUUCACUGGUUCACUGGUUUAACUGGUCCAACCGGUGGUUCAACCGGAAAAACCGUUUUAGAAUAGAAAUAAUAAAAAUUAUAAAUACACAUCUUAAAAUAUAAUUAUAGUCUAAUAUAAAUCUUAAAAACUGAGUGGGUAGAGGACCGGACCGCAUGCAUUGUCGGUUCGCGGUUAAACCGGUCGAACCGACCGGUCCGGUCCGGUUUUCAGAACCUUGAUUUUAACCAUAUAAUUAACUGUAAGCUAAUUAUUAAUUAAGUGGAUAAUGAGCAUUUAAAUCGGUG